GGGAGUCCGCUGUCCUCACAGCAAGAAACGGAAGGAGGUUCCCUCAGGGCUCUUUUGCCUCCCGGAAGUACAAGGCGCCUCCAUCUUCACAGCAUGAAGGAAGCCGAGGAGAUGCCAUGUGAGGGUGCAGCGAGGAGUUGGGCUGUCUAAAAGCAAAGAAAGAGAUUGCAUCAGACACCGCAUCUGCUGACACCUUGUUCUUGGACUUCCAGCUUCCAAAACCGCGAGAAAUAAAUGUCUGUGUCUAAACCCCAACCCUACCACCUCAACUGCCGUGUGUGGUGUUUUGUGAUGGCAGCCCCAGCUGACUGAGACACCUGGUUAGACCGGAAUAAGCAGGCUGCAAUCGGUAGCAGUCACCAUUGAACAUCCUUGAAGCAAUUCUUCCAAAAUUACCUUGCAUCAAAGACUGCACAAGAACUGCUCUAAGCGGAAGGACUGAUGUCGGCAACCAGGGUUCCACCAGGGGCUGCAGACAGCCCUUGACCUUCAGGUGGGAAGGUGUCACUGAGUUCAGACCCUCUGGCAAUCCCUAGCUAUCAACAUUUUGAUAAGAAAAUAAGUGGAAAGAAGUAACCAAAUUUACUCACGUAGGCCAGGAAUUUCUAUGACGUGUUCCAAAUUCAGCCUCUCACUGAACACUUCCAGAGCAAGGCAACAUAAACAUCUGCAAGAAGAACAUUGUGUGAGAAAUAUCAAGUGAGAGUGGAAGAGUCUGCGGAGGGCCUCCCUGGGGCUCACCUGUGCUUUUGCCUGAGCUUCACCGUGUCAAGGAUGCAGCACUUUUUCCCUCUGGAGGAAGCAGCUUUCACCUUGGAAGAAUCUUGACCUUGCCAUUCAAAGUCACCAGACAGGGAAUCUGCCAGUGCCUUGAUCUUAGACUUCCCAGCUUCUGUAACUGUGAGCAAUAAAUGUAUGCUGCUUAUAAACUA
rnacentral:lncRNA from 1 species